ensembl:snoRNA
AACACUUGUGUGUGUUUAAUUUGUAACAAAACCUUACAGAAGGGUGUAAACAGAAAAUCCUCUUUUGCAACCCAGAACUCCUUGCUGAUAUGAGAUUUUGGUACAUGUAAGAAAGGAUAUG